rnacentral:rRNA from 1 species
UUCUAAUAGAAUUUAUUAUUAGUAAGACCUGCUCAAUGAAAACCAUUUUAAAUAGCCGCAGUAACCUGUGCUAAGGUAGCAUAAUAACUUGCCUUAUAAUUAAAGGCUAGAAUGAAAGGUUUAACAUACAAAAUCCUUUAUUAUUAAAAUUUCUAAAAAUUAUCCUAUAAGUAAAAAGACUUAUAUCAUUAGGAGGACGACAAGACCCUGAUGAACUUAACUUAUAGUUUUGCUGGGGCGGCAAAACAAGAAUAUCUUUAUCAUAUAUAUAUAUAAAUAAACCCAUUACAAAUGAAUUUAUAACAAGUUACCACAGGGAUAACAGCAUAAUAUUUCUUAAAAGAUCUUAUUAAAAGAAAUGAUUGUGACCUCGAUGUUGAAUAAUUUUACCUAAUUCGGAGCAGAAUCCAAUUAAGGAAGUCUGUUCGACUUUUAAACACUUACA